rfam:Populus trichocarpa scaffold_2_contig_202, whole genome shotgun sequence.
UUUAGAACUCGAGAUAUGGGCUGCAAGACAGAUUCUGACUUCUCUGUUGUUGCUAUAAUUUGAACUUGAAAACGGUCCUUUUUGAAUCUUGGACUCCUCAUGAAAGUUUUAGGCCUAUGUCUCAGCUUUCUAUA